ensembl:lncRNA PLAC4 placenta enriched 4
GCUACUCAGGGCACACAGCCUAUGGAGCAGCCCUGAUCUGCAAGGAGCGGCAUCUCUGGCGCUGCUGUGCACAGCUGCUUCCAUGAAAGCUGCUGCCUAACACCACCAGCUCACCCUUGAAUCUUUGGGCAAAUCCAAGAACUCUCCCAGGCUAAGCCCCAGUCUUGGGGCUUGCCUGUCCUGCAUCAUCUGGCAACCAGCAAAGGGACAAGGACAGCGGAGAUGGUGGCAAUUGGCAGAGAGGCAAGACAGCAGAGACAGAGAGGCAGCAAUUGGUGAGAGACAAGAGACAGCAGUUGGCAAGACAGCAAGAGACGGUGAAGCAGUCUGUGAUUGAGGAUGUGGUGAAACUGAGUGGACAGCCAAGUGUCCAUAGUACAGCUGCCUCGUGUGGGACCCACUGCUCUAACGAGCCAGCCCCCGACACAGAAGCUGAGCACCCCCAAGCUGGGGAACCUAGAGAGACCUGCACCCGGGUCCCACGUGGAAGACUGGCUGGUGCCAUUUUGUCUUCUGUGGAUGGGUGAGAGUCCCCUUUGCACCCUCCCCCAGUAAUAUCAGAUUACCACAGUUCCAGAGACAAUGCUGGCACAAGGCUUCCAGCCCAUCCUGUCCACUGACACGGAGAAUGAAAUCGUCCUGCCUCUGGGCUCCUUAGAUCAGACUGGAAAUCUCAAAAACACACGUUCAGCACCAAGAUUUUCAGCAGCACCGCCUCAGAAUGAGACCCCUAGAAAAAACUGCGUGUUUUCCACUUGCCCAACACGAGGAGUUUUUGGAACACGACCUGCUUGAGGUGGAGAUUUUCUAGAUGGGCAAAGAGAAGGAAACACUUAACCUAGGAAGAGUAUUUAGGAAGAAGAAAGAACACAGCCUUUCUGCACAGGAAACCGCCGAGCAGAGGGGCAUCUGGCCUCUGCAGUGGCCUCCAAAUAGAGUCCAAUGGCUGGGGCCAGCGUGGCUGCUUAAAGGGGACUCAAGGGAUAUAAUAAAAUGCAGAUUCU